rnacentral:rRNA from 1 species
GCAAAGGCAUAAGCCAGCUUGACUGUGAGAGUGACGGCUCGAGCAGGUACGAAAGUAGGUCUUAGUGAUCCGGUGGUUCUGAAUGGAAGGGCCAUCGCUCAACGGAUAAAAGGUACUCCGGGGGAUAACAGGCUGAUACCGCCCAAGAGUUCAUAUCGACGGCGGUGUUUGGCACCUCGAUGUCGGCUCAUCACAUCCUGGGG